rnacentral:rRNA from 1 species
UACGGAGGGGGCUAGCGUUGUUCGGAAUUACUGGGCGUAAAGCGCACGUAGGCGGCUUUGCAAGUUAGAGGUGAAAGCCCGGGGCUCAACCCCGGAAUUGCCUUUAAAACUGCAUCGCUAGAAUUGUGGAGAGGUAAGUGGAAUUCCGAGUGUAGAGGUGAAAUUCGUAGAUAUUCGGAAGAACACCAGUGGCGAAGGCGGCUCACUGGACGAUUGUUGACGCUGAGGUGCGAAAGCGUGGGGAGCAAACAGG